rnacentral:rRNA from 1 species
UGGGCGAUAGCCUGAACCAGCCAUGCCGCGUGCAGGAAGACGGCCCUAUGGGUUGUAAACUGCUUUUCUGCGGGAAGAAUACUCUAGAUUCGUUCUGGGGUUGACGGUACCGCAGGAAUAAGCAUCGGCUAACUCCGUGCCAGCAGCCGCGGUAAUACGGAGGAUGCAAGCGUUAUCCGGAUUCAUUGGGUUUAAAGGGUGCGCAGGCGGUGGAGCAAGUCAGUGGUGAAAGCCCGGGGCUCAACUCCGGGAUUGCCAUUGAAACUGUUUCACUUGAGUGCAGUCGAGGACGGCGGAAUGAGUUGUGUAGCGGUGAAAUGCAUAGAUAUAACUCAGAACACCGAUUGCGAAGGCAGCUGUCUAGGCUACAACUGACGCUGAGGCACGAAAGCGUGGGGAGCGAACAGGAUUAGAUACCCUGGUAGUCCACGCAGUAAACGAUGAUCACUCGUUGCUGGCUACGUAGUAGUCAGUGACUAAGGGAAACCAUUAAGUGAUCCACCUGGGGAGUACGUCGGCAACGAUGAAACUCAAAGGAAUUGACGGGGGCCCGCACAAGCGGAGGAACAUGUGGUUUAAUUCGAUGAUACGCGAGGAACCUUACCUGGGCUUAAAUGCAGGCUGCAUUUCCGCGAAAGCGGGAUUUCCUACGGGACUGCUUGCAAGGUGCUGCAUGGUUGUCGUCAGCUCGUGCCGUGAGGUGUCGGGUUAAGUCCCAUAACGAGCGCAACCCCUAUCGCUAGUUGCCAGCAUGUAAUGAUGGGGACUCUAGCGAGACUGCCGGUGUAAACCGGAGGAAGGUGGGGAUGACGUCAAAUCAGCACGGCCCUUACGUCCAGGGCUACACACGUGUUACAAUGGCCGGUACAAAGA